rnacentral:rRNA from 1 species
AUUCCGGUUGAUCCUGCCGGAGGCCAUUGCUAUCGGAGUCCGAUUUAGCCAUGCUAGUCGUGCGAGUUCAGACUCGCGGCACCGAGCUCAGUAACACGUGGCCAAACUACCCUACAGAGACGGAUACCCUCGGGAAACUGAGGUUAACCCGUCAUACCGAUCUCAGGCUUGAAUCGCAGAGAUCACAAAACGCCCCGGCGCUGUAGGAUGUGGCUGCGGUUGAUUAGGUAGACGGUGGGGUAACGGCCCACCGUGCCCAUAAUCAGUACAGGUUGUGAGAGCAAGAACCUGGAGACGGAAUCUGAGACAAGAUUCCGGGCCCUACGGGGCGCAGCAGGCGCGAAACCUUUACACUGCACGCACGUGCGAUAAGGGGACUCCGAGUGC